AAACCAACAGGGAUUGCCUCAGUAACGGCGAGUGAAGCGGCAAAAGCUCAAAUUUGAAAUCUAGCACCUUCGGUGUUCGAGUUGUAAUUUGAAGAUGGUAACCUUGGGUUUGGCUCUUGUCUAUGUUCCUUGGAACAGGACGUCAUAGAGGGUGAGAAUCCCGUCUGAUGAGAUGCCCAUUCCUAUGUAAGGUGCUAUCGAAGAGUCGAGUUGUUUGGGAAAGCAGCUCUAAGUGGGUGGUAAAUUCCAUCUAAAGCUAAAUAUUGGCGAGAGACCGAUAGCGAACAAGUACAGUGAUGGAAAGAUGAAAAGAACUUUGAAAAGAGAGUGAAAAAGUACGUGAAAUUGUUGAAAGGGAAGGGCAUUAGAUCAGACUUGGUGUUUUACGAUUAUCUUCUCUUCUUGAGCUGUGCACUCGUAUUUCACUGGGCCAGCAUCGAUUCGGAUGGCAAGAUAAUGGCAGUUGAAUGUGGCUUCACUUCGGUGGAGUGUUAUAGCUUCUGCUGAUAUUGCCUGUCUGGAUCGAGGGCUGCGUCUUUUGACUAGGAUGCUGGCGUAAUGAUCUAAUGCCGC
rnacentral:rRNA from 1 species